rnacentral:tRNA from 1 species
GGGCGUGUGGCGUAGUCGGUAGCGCGCUCCCUUAGCAUGGGAGAGGUCUCCGGUUCGAUUCCGGACUCGUCCAAUCUUUUCCA